AUGAUGAGCCGGGCCACCCCCGACCAGGAGCGAGCGCCGGCGUCCGAGCCCGUGUGGGAGCGUCCCUGGUCGGUGGAGGAGAUCCGCAGGAGCAGCCAGAGCUGGUCGCUGGCGGCCGACGCGGGCCUACUACAGUUUCUGCAGGAAUUUUCACAGCAGACUAUCUCUAGGACUCAUGAAAUCAAGAAACAAGUGGACGGACUAAUCCGGGAGACUAAAGCCACCGACUGCCGCCUACACAAUGUCUUCAAUGACUUCCUUAUGCUCUCUAAUACCCAGUUCAUUGAAAACCGUGUAUAUGAUGAGGAGGUGGAGGAGCCGGUGCUCAAGACUGAGGCAGAAAAACCAGAACAGGAAAAGACCCGGGAACAGAAAGAAGUGGAUCUGAUUCCUAAAGUCCAGGAGGCUGUGAACUACGGUUUGCAGGUGUUGGACAGUGCAUUUGAGCAACUAGACAUAAAAGCAGGAAGCUCAGACUCUGAAGAGGAUGAUGCUAAUGAGCGGAUGGAAUUGAUCCUUGAGCCAAAGGACCUGUACAUUGACCGCCCUUUACCUUAUUUAAUUGGGUCAAAGCUGUUCAUGGAGCAGGAAGAUGUAGGCCUGGGAGAGCUUUCUAGUGAAGAAGGUUCAGUGGGCAGUGAUCGUGGGAGUAUUGCAGACAGUGAGGAAGAGAACGAAGAAGAGGAGUCAGAUGAAGAUUUUGCCAAUCACAGUGACAGUGAUCAAAACCGGCACACGGCACAGAUGAGUGACGAAGAGGAGGACGAUGGUUGCGACCUUUUUGCUGACUCUGAGAAGGAGGAGGAGGAUGCUGAAGACGUUGACGAGCGUUCUAGACCCAAAAGAAGCAGGCCUACGUCAUUCGCUGAUGAACUGGCAGCUCGGAUCAAAGGGGACGCCUCAAGCCGGAUGGAAGAGGAGCGCGCAACCUUAUCCCCGGGGGAAGCAAAACCUCAGAAGACGUUGAAGGAGAAGAAGGAAAGGAAAACUCCCUCAGAUGAUGAAGAAGAUAACUUAUUCGCACCCCCGAAGCUGACAGAUGAAGACUUCUCGCCGUUUGGUUCUAGAGGCGGCCUGUUCAGUGGAGGGAAGGGACUUUUUGAUGAUGAGGAUGAGGAGAGUGACCUCUUCACAGAAGCCCCUCGGGAUCGGGGAGCUCGAACCCCUGUUAAUGAAGCAUCUUCAUCCUCUAAACCUGGAAAGAAAAUCCCGGCAGGAGCUGUUUCUGUGUUUUUAGGGGAUACUGACAUGUUCGGUGGCGCCUCUUCCCCGGCACUGAAGGAGCCCCAGAAGCACGAGCAGCCCCCUCCAGGGAAAAGCGCGCACGUCCCAGCAUCUGCUGGCCUCUUUGAUGAUGACGACGACGACGACGACUUUUUCGCGGCAUCCCGUAGCAAACCUCCCAAGACAGACAGAGUCAGACCCACUGCCAGCAUCUUCGACGAUGAAGGAGAUCUGUUCGAAGAAAAAGCAGUGGCUUUGCCAGAAGCGACUGUGAACCAGACAGACGAAGAUAAAGCAAGAGCAGAAACAAAGGUUAUGCUACCUUCCAGCAAAAAUCUCAAGCUUUCAUCGGAAACAAAGACUCACAAAGGCUUAUUUUCAGAUGAGGAGGACUCUGAGGAUUUGUUUUCUUCUCAAAGUGUGAGUAAGCCAAAAGAUGCAACUCUGCUGCCUGGCAAACCCCCCAGCUCAGUCUUGCUUUUCGAUGAUGAAGAUGGACAGGAUAAUCUUUUUGAUACUCCAGCUGCUAAGAAGCAGACAUCGGCUCUACUGACUCAGAGCCAAAAGAAAGCAAAGCCCUCUGAGCCUCCCAAAAAGAAAGCAUCUGCCUUACUGUUCAGCAGUGAUGAGGAGGACCAGUGGCAUAUUACUGACUCACAGACCAACUUGACAUCUGACAAGUCUAAAGGAGAUCUUAGGGACCCUGAGACCACCCACCAGGAGGUUAAGGCCUUGAAGAAGACCAGCCUCUUUGAGGAGGAUGACGAGGAUGACCUAUUUGCUGUUGCCAAGGACAGCCAGAAGAAGGCCCAGAGAGCAUCACUGCUGUUUGAGGACGACGGUGGCAGCGGAAGCUCCCUGCUCGGCUCUCCGCCCGCACCUGCCGCUCCCGCAGCCACGAAAAAAGAGACUGUCCCUGAAGUACCGCCUUUGCUGUUCAGCGAUGGAGAAGAAAAGGCGGCGCAGUCUGGAGUGAAACCUGCAGCGAAGAAGGCUGAGCGUGCCCAGGGGACCUCGGAAUUGGGGAGAACUCCUGUGGUCAAGGAGCCAGGAAAGGAAGGAUCUUUGAAUGCACCUACUCAGGAAACAGCCAAGAACUCUGAUUUGUUUUCUUCGUCGUCCCCAUUGGACAAAGGACCUAAAAGUAGAACCAAAACGGUUCUUAGCUUAUUUGAUGAGGAAGAGGAUAAAACAGAAGAUCAAAGCAGCUUCCAGGCUCUGAAAAAGGAAGCAGGAAAGAGUCCUGAUCCUGGUACCCGCCCCAAGAGCACAGGUGUCUUUCAGGAUGAAGAGCUCCUUUUUAGUCACAAGCUCCAAAAGGACAACGACCCAGAUGUUGACCUUUUCUCUGGCACCAAAAAAUCCAGGUUGUUCGAGCCCAGUGUGGGGAGCCUGUUCGGAGACGACGAAGACGAUGAUCUCUUCGGCUCUGCCAAGUCACAGCCUUCGGCAAAUUUAGCGAUCAACCCAGCAGCCUUGCUGCCUCCAGCAGCUCCCCAGAUCUCUGGAAUGAAGUCUGUUUUGCCAGAAUCUGGUGUUCCUUCGUCUGAACCUGGAAGGAUGCAGAGUCUGGAAAGUGUGCCCACUCCUGGGAGUGGGGAGGCUGGUGUGAGUUUUGACCUUCCCGCUCAGGCAGAUACCUUACACUGUGCAAACAAGACCCGGGUCAAAGUGAGAGGGAAGCGCAGACCACAGACACGUGCCGCCCGGCAGCUGGCUGCCCAGGAGUCCACCGAGGCCGAGGAUAUGGGUUCCCCCACGGGAUUUGUGGCACAGUUGACAGAUGGCACCACAUCACCAGGUGGUCGUCAGCCACCGCUGAGGGCAGUUGGUGGAGCAGACACCCCUGAAGAAGCAGUGGCAGCUGCCACUCCAACGUGGGCAGGUGGUCCUGUGCCUGGAAUGAACAGUGGCCCGUUUGCGAAAUCUGUGGGUCAGCCUCUUGAGGAUGAUCUGUUUGAUUCUGCAGAUAUCUUUUCCAAGGGCAUUGCAUCUCAGUCCUCAGGAAGAAGAAAAACCAAAGCGAAGGCAGCCGGCAGCCUGGCCAACCUGGGGGAGGGAAGUAAAGACAGACGCCCCAUGUUCCCUGCUCUCGGUGAGGCGGGCAGUGAUGAUGAUCUCUUUCAGUCUGCUAAACCAAAACCAGCAAAGAAGACAAAUCCUUUCCCUCUCCUGGAAGAUGAGGACGAUCUGUUUACAGACCAGAGAGGCACAAAGAAUGGGUCAAAAUCCAACAGUCAACAGGAUAUUAUCUCAAAAGCACAAGAUAUAUUUGAGGAUGAUAUAUUUGCUACAGAAGCAAUUAAACCCUCACAGAAAACAAGAGAGAAGGAAAGAACAUUUGACUCCAACUUAUUCGAUGAUAACAUUGAUAUCUUUGCUGACCUAACUGUAAAACCAAAAGAAAAGUCUAAAAAGAAAGUGGAAGCUAAGUCUAUAUUUGACGAUGAUACAGAUGACAUCUUCUCCUCUGGUAUCCAGACUAAGACAACCAAAUCAAAAAGUGGAUCUUCACAGACAGUGACUGAAUCAAGAUCUGGACAGAAGGUUUCCAACAUAUUUGAUGACCCCUUGAAUGCCUUUGGAGGCCAGUAGAGUGUCCAGGGUAUCUUUCAGCUACAUCCUUGGGUCAAUGAUGCUGUCUUCUGUGCUCCUUAACUGAAUUAUAGAAAACGAACACUGAAACAGCUUACUCGCCUCUUACCCAGCAUACUUAAUAUUUUUCUGUACUGGUUUUAAAAUCAUGCUUAAUUCUGCAAACAAAAAUAAAUGUCUCACAGUGUUACUAU
rnacentral:lncRNA from 1 species